rnacentral:rRNA from 1 species
GUGCCAGCAGCCGCGGUAAUACGGAGGGUGCGAGCGUUGUCCGGAAUCACUGGGCGUAAAGGGCGCGUAGGCGGUUCGCUAAGUGGCUGGUGAAAUCCCGGGGCUCAACUCCGGGGCUGCCGGUCAGACUGGCGGACUAGAGCACGGUAGAGGCGGAUGGAAUUCCCGGUGUAGCGGUGGAAUGCGUAGAUAUCGGGAAGAAUACCGGUGGCGAAGGCGUUCCGCUGGGCCGUUGCUGACGCUGAGGCGCGACAGCGUGGGGAGCAAACAGGAUUAGAUACCCCCGUAGUCC